CCUACGGGAGGCAGCAGUGGGGAAUAUUGCACAAUGGGGGAAACCCUGAUGCAGCGACGCCGCGUGAGUGAAGAAGUAUUUCGGUAUGUAAAGCUCUAUCAGCAGGGAAGAAAAUGACGGUACCUGACUAAGAAGCCCCGGCUAACUACGUGCCAGCAGCCGCGGUAAUACGUAGGGGGCAAGCGUUAUCCGGAUUUACUGGGUGUAAAGGGAGCGUAGACGGUGAUGCAAGUCAGAAGUGAAAGCCCUGGGCUCAACUCCGGGACUGCUUUUGAAACUGUGUGACUGGAGUGCAGGAGAGGUAAGCGGAAUUCCUGGUGUAGCGGUGAAAUGCGUAGAUAUCAGGAGGAACACCAGUGGCGAAGGCGGCUUACUGGACUGUAACUGACGUUGAGGCUCGAAAGCGUGGGGAGCAAACAGGAUUAGAUACCCUUGUAGUC
rnacentral:rRNA from 1 species